AAACAAAACAAAGAAAUUCUGGAUCCACUCUAUGAACUCCCACAGCCAUGCCCAGGAGGACAUCUGGCAGGGCUGACUGCUGGGUUAUCACUUUCAUCUAUAGACACUAUGGCUAGCUAGUGUUCUGAAGAACACAGAGCAUGCCAGGAAGUUCAUGGCCAGGGUGAGAGGUUGAAGGUGGCCAGAUGGGAUACCCUGCCUGCACAGGAGUCAAGGACUGGAAGAAACUGCUCCCUUCCACAAAGAGUUUUACCGAAGACAGCCCUAUCUGCUGUUGUCUGGAAAUCAAGAUGGUGGCUGUGCCAGCUAGGAAGAGAAAAGAGGCCAUGUAGUCUCUUCAAAGGAAAGGAUGGCACCUGAAGAGAAAGUACUCUGGCUUGCAUUUUUCAUGUAAGAACCAGCCUGGAAGUUCUUUCUUGUAGGUUCAAGGUUGAAUCCAAGCAUAUAAGGCAUCUUGCCUCCAAGAAGAUGGACCAUAAAGCCAUGGCUUUACUUGUGGACAACAGUGGUUCUUUGGAGGGACUUCUUGGUGGGAACACAUUGACUGUCACAGAAGAGGAAGAGAACAAACAUGGAAGACCAUGUGCUCCCAUUAGCACUUGCUUUCCUUCUGCUGGUCAUGUGACCACAGAAGCAGCCAAUUUGUGACCCCACUGUCCACUCUAAGAGAAGCACCAAAGUUUGGUGGAUAAUGGUGAGCUCUUGCCAUAACUGGAGGCAGGGACAGCAAUGAUUCUUAUAUACCAUUAUUCUUAAUGAUUCUACACCAAGCCUCUUCUCCAAGAUGCUGCCUCUGUGAGAGCAUUCUUAGCAUUAGCACAUUGUAUAUAAGGAGAGAACACAGGAUGGACUCCACCAGCAGGAAACCUGAUGCCCAGAUUCUGCGCCCAAGCACUGGAUGUCCAUGGGGAAAGGAGCCAAGUUGGCUCUGUUGCAAAGAAGUCGAGCCAGCAACAGUAUUGUGACAGGGGGGUGAUGACAUCAUUGAUGUCCAUGAGGAUGAAACUAACACAUCCGAUGACUACUGAAGGAAAUAGUGACAAAUCACGGAGCAUGACCCAUCCGCCACAUCUGCCACAGAGAUCUAAUGACCUGUAACUACAUCAGUGAGCUGAGCUGGAUUAGAAAAGGAGAUAUUCAUACCUUCAUACUUAUGGAGAAAGACAGACUCUCUUACCUCAGACCAUGGGAAAGAAAAGGCUUUUCUAACAUGGAUCCUGUAGAAAACAGUAAGUUCUCCUACCUUGUUACGUGAUUCUCCAACCACAGGUGUUACGGGGAAAGCAUAGAGCCACUCACAUGAGAUCUAGUAGGGUAGAAUGGAUUUCCCCUCCUGUAUUUCUGUAUUUUCUCAUUGCUGUCACCAAACUAAAGAACAAACAUCUCA